GGGGUAGAGGCCCGCCGCGGUAACGACGGGUAACGGGGAAUCAGGGUUCGAUUCCGGAGAGGGAGCCCGAGAAACGGCUACCACUUCCAAGGAAGGCAGCAGGCGCGCAACUUACCCUAAUCUCGAUUCGAGGAGGUAGUGACAAGAAAUACCGAUGCGGGACCCUACGGGUGCCGCGUUCGGAAUGAGUACGAUUCGAACCACCUAACGAGGAACGAUCGGAGGGCAAGUCUGGUGCCAGCAGCCGCGGUAAUUCCAGCUCCAAUAGCGUACGUUAAAAGUUGCUGCAGUUAAAAAAGCUCGUAGUUGAACGUUCGGGUUCCGCGGGACGGGGCCGCCCCGCGAGGGACGGCGCCGCCCCGGGGCUCGUGAUAUCUCAUCUCGCCGCCCGUCGCGAGGCGGACGGAGGGAGUGGAUGAGGUUACCUGGAAAAAAUACGGGGACGAGUCUAGGCGGGCGAACCUCGCCAACGAACG
rnacentral:rRNA from 1 species